rnacentral:lncRNA from 1 species
CACACUAACCUAUGCCUCUGUGUCCUCUUUAAUGCCUAAAACUGUGCCUAGAAAUUUCAUCUGUCUUAAAAAUAAAAUAUACUCCAUGCUGUUUAUGCUAUUAGUUUCUCUACUGCUUGGUUUUUGAGUUUGCAGUUUCACGAUUAGUUCUUCAUUUCAUGAUUUUUGUAGCUGACAUGAAAUUAUCUAUGUGGAAAAAAUAAAAAUAAAAGUGGCUUCCCUG